AAUGAACGUUGGCGGCGUGGAUUAGGCAUGCAAGUCGAGCGGUAGAGAACUGCUCACUCAUGCUCUCUCAUAAGGCGGCCUGGGCGAAAGCCCCGGUUAUGGUGAGAGGGCUGAGCGAGCAGUUCUCGAGAGCGGCGAAAGGGAGAGUAACGCGUAGUUACGUACCCCGAGGCCCGGAAUAGCCACGGGAAACUGUGGGUAAUGCCGGAUAAUAUCUUAGGAUCAAAGAUGUGAUUUCACCUUGGGAGCGGACUGCGUCGUACUAGCUUGUUGGUGGGGUAAUGGCCUACCAAGGCGAUGAUGCGUAGCGGGUGUGAGAGCAUGACCCGUCUCACUGGGACUGAGACACUGCCCAGACACCUACGGGUGGCUGCAGUCGAGAAUCUUCGGCAAUGGACGAAAGUCUGACCGAGCGACGCCGCGUGCGGGAUGAAGGCCUUCGGGUUGUAAACCGCGAAAGUAGGGAGGAAGGCUUCGUGAAGAACGAGGUUUGACCGAUCUACAGUAAGGACGGGCUAAGUACGUGCCAGCAGC
rnacentral:rRNA from 1 species